rnacentral:rRNA from 1 species
ACGCUCGACACCUACGGGAGGCGGCAGUGGGGAAUAUUGCACAAUGGGGGAAACCCUGAUGCAGCGACGCCGCGUGGAGGAAGAAGGUCUUCGGAUUGUAAACUCCUGUUGUUGGGGAAAAAGAGGAUGGUACCCAACAAGGAAGUGACGGCUAACUACGUGCCAGCAGCCGCGGUAAUCUGAGCGGGCUGGCAAGGC